rnacentral:rRNA from 1 species
UCAAGUGAAGAAGCGCAUACGGUGGAUGCCUUGGCAGUCAGAGGCGAUGAAAGACGUGGUAGCCUGCGAAAAGCUUCGGGGAGUCGGCAAACAGACUUUGAUCCGGAGAUCUCUGAAUGGGGGAACCCACCUAGGAUAACCUAGGUAUCUUGUACUGAAUCCAUAGGUGCAAGAGGCGAACCAGGGGAACUGAAACAUCUAAGUACCCUGAGGAAAAGAAAUCAACCGAGAUUCCCUUAGUAGUGGCGAGCGAACGGGGAUUAGCCCUUAAGCUUCAUUGAUUUUAGCGGAACGCUCUGGAAAGUGCGGCCAUAGUGGGUGAUAGCCCCGUACGCGAAAGGAUCUUUGAAGUGAAAUCGAGUAGGACGGAGCACGAGAAACUUUGUCUGAACAUGGGGGGACCAUCCUCCAAGGCUAAAUACUACUGACUGACCGAUAGUGAACCAGUACCGUGAGGGAAAGGCGAAAAGAACCCCGGAGAGGGGAGUGAAAUAGAACCUGAAACCGUAUGCGUACAAGCAGUGGGAGCCUACUUGUUAGGUGACUGCGUACCUUUUGUAUAAUGGGUCAGCGACUUAUAUUCAGUGGCAAGCUUAACCGUAUAGGGUAGGCGUAGCGAAAGCGAGUCUUAAUAGGGCGUUUAGUCGCUGGGUAUAGACCCGAAACCGGGCGAUCUAUCCAUGAGCAGGUUGAAGGUUAGGUAACACUGACUGGAGGACCGAACCCACUCCCGUUGAAAAGGUAGGGGAUGACUUGUGGAUCGGAGUGAAAGGCUAAUCAAGCUCGGAGAUAGCUGGUUCUCCUCGAAAGCUAUUUAGGUAGCGCCUCAUGUAUCACUCUGGGGGGUAGAGCACUGUUUCGGCUAGGGGGUCAUCCCGACUUACCAAACCGAUGCAAACUCCGAAUACCCAGAAGUGCCGAGCAUGGGAGACACACGGCGGGUGCUAACGUCCGUCGUGAAAAGGGAAACAACCCAGACCGCCAGCUAAGGUCCCAAAGUUGUGGUUAAGUGGUAAACGAUGUGGGAAGGCUUAGACAGCUAGGAGGUUGGCUUAGAAGCAGCCACCCUUUAAAGAAAGCGUAAUAGCUCACUAGUCGAGUCGGCCUGCGCGGAAGAUGUAACGGGGCUCAAACCACACACCGAAGCUGCGGGUGUCACGUAAGUGACGCGGUAGAGGAGCGUUCUGUAAGCCUGUGAAGGUGAGUUGAGAAGCUUGCUGGAGGUAUCAGAAGUGCGAAUGCUGACAUGAGUAACGACAAUGGGUGUGAAAAACACCCACGCCGAAAGACCAAGGGUUCCUGCGCAACGUUAAUCGACGCAGGGUUAGUCGGUUCCUAAGGCGAGGCUGAAAAGCGUAGUCGAUGGGAAACAGGUUAAUAUUCCUGUACUUCUGGUUACUGCGAUGGAGGGACGGAGAAGGCUAGGCCAGCUUGGCGUUGGUUGUCCAAGUUUAAGGUGGUAGGCUGAAAUCUUAGGUAAAUCCGGGGUUUCAAGGCCGAGAGCUGAUGACGAGUCGUCUUUUAGAUGACGAAGUGGUUGAUGCCAUGCUUCCAAGAAAAGCUUCUAAGCUUCAGGUAACCAGGAACCGUACCCCAAACCGACACAGGUGGUCGGGUAGAGAAUACCAAGGCGCUUGAGAGAACUCGGGUGAAGGAACUAGGCAAAAUGGCACCGUAACUUCGGGAGAAGGUGCGCCGGCUAGGGUGAAGGAUUUACUCCGUAAGCUCUGGCUGGUCGAAGAUACCAGGCCGCUGCGACUGUUUAUUAAAAACACAGCACUCUGCAAACACGAAAGUGGACGUAUAGGGUGUGACGCCUGCCCGGUGCCGGAAGGUUAAUUGAUGGGGUUAGCGCAAGCGAAGCUCUUGAUCGAAGCCCCGGUAAACGGCGGCCGUAACUAUAACGGUCCUAAGGUAGCGAAAUUCCUUGUCGGGUAAGUUCCGACCUGCACGAAUGGCGUAACGAUGGCGGCGCUGUCUCCACCCGAGACUCAGUGAAAUUGAAAUCGCUGUGAAGAUGCAGUGUAUCCGCGGCUAGACGGAGAGACCCCGUGAACCUUUACUGUAGCUUUGCACUGGACUUUGAGCCUGCUUGUGUAGGAUAGGUGGGAGGCUUUGAAGCGUGGACGCCAGUUCGCGUGGAGCCAUCCUUGAAAUACCACCCUGGCAUGCUUGAGGUUCUAACUCUGGUCCGUAAUCCGGAUCGAGGACAGUGUAUGGUGGGCAGUUUGACUGGGGCGGUCUCCUCCUAAAGAGUAACGGAGGAGUACGAAGGUGCGCUCAGACCGGUCGGAAAUCGGUCGUAGAGUAUAAAGGCAAAAGCGCGCUUGACUGCGAGACAGACACGUCGAGCAGGUACGAAAGUAGGUCUUAGUGAUCCGGUGGUUCUGUAUGGAAGGGCCAUCGCUCAACGGAUAAAAGGUACUCCGGGGAUAACAGGCUGAUACCGCCCAAGAGUUCAUAUCGACGGCGGUGUUUGGCACCUCGAUGUCGGCUCAUCACAUCCUGGGGCUGAAGCCGGUCCCAAGGGUAUGGCUGUUCGCCAUUUAAAGUGGUACGCGAGCUGGGUUUAGAACGUCGUGAGACAGUUCGGUCCCUAUCUGCCGUGGACGUUUGAGAUUUGAGAGGGGCUGCUCCUAGUACGAGAGGACCGGAGUGGACGAACCUCUGGUGUUCCGGUUGUCACGCCAGUGGCAUUGCCGGGUAGCUAUGUUCGGAAAAGAUAACCGCUGAAAGCAUCUAAGCGGGAAACUUGCCUCAAGAUGAGAUCUCACUGGGAACUUGAUUCCCCUGAAGGGCCGUCGAAGACUACGACGUUGAUAGGCUGGGUGUGUAAGCGUUGUGAGGCGUUGAGCUAACCAGUACUAAUUGCCCGUGAGGCUUGACCAU